UCUCUUCUAGAAGUGUCUAUUAUAUUAAUGA
rnacentral:piRNA from 1 species